UACGAAGGGGGCUAGCGUUGUUCGGAUUUACUGGGCGUAAAGCGCACGUAGGCGGAUCGUUAAGUCGGGGGUGAAAUCCUGGAGCUCAACUCCAGAACUGCCUUCGAUACUGGCGAUCUUGAGUCCGGAAGAGGUGAGUGGAACUCCUAGUGUAGAGGUGGAAUUCGUAGAUAUUAGGAAGAACACCAGUGGCGAAAGCACUCUGCUGGGCCGACACUGACACUGAGAGACGAAAGCUAGGGGAGCGAAUGGG
rnacentral:rRNA from 1 species